UGGGGAAUAUUGGACAAUGGGGGGAACCCUGAUCCAGCAAUGCCGCGUGUGUGAAGAAGGCCUGAGGGUUGUAAAAUCCUUUCGUUGGGGACGAUAAUGACGGUACCCAAAGAAGAAGCUCCGGCUAACUUCGUGCCAGCAGCCGCGGUAAUACGAAGGGGGCUAGCGUUGUUCGGAUUUACUGGGCGUAAAGCGCGUGUAGGCGGACUUGUAAGUUGGGGGUGAAAUCCCGAGGCUCAACCUCGGAACUGCCUCCAAAACUACAAAUCUGGACCUAAGUAGAGGCAAGUGGAAUUGCGAGUGUAGAGGUGAAAUUCGUAGAUAUUCGCAGGAACACCAGUGGCGAAGGCGACUUUCUGGACUGAUACUGACACUGAGGUGCGAAAGCGUGGGGAGCAAACAGGAUUAGAUACCCCAGUAGUCCCUGAGCGGGCUGGCAAGGCGCAU
rnacentral:rRNA from 1 species